AGUGCGAAAGCUCACAUAAUAUGAACUUUGUUAUCCAAAGUGUGAUUCCUAUUUAUUUAGGAAGUUAUGUGAGUUUUACUUAUUUUUGAUGAAACAGAUUCCCAAAAAAUAGUCUUAUCAGUGGAAACUAAAUGAGAUUUUCAGAUUUGAAUCAAGAGUGAAUCUGACUGAACACUCAGUUUAGUAUGGAGCAAUAAGGGAAGUGCAACAUUUUUCUGCCUUUAUUGUGUCUAUGGAGUGCCAAGUGGUGGGCUUAUACUCCCUCCUGGGUGGUAAGUAUGGCUCACAGGAACGCUUGCAGGUCCCCUAUAAGAACCAUCUAGGCAUCUGUUGUAUGAAAUCACUUGGAUUCAAAAUCUGGCUAUACAGUCUGUUGGAGUUGCCUAAGGUAAAAUUUGGCCCAGUUAUCCUGGAAGAGUUCAAGCCAAUUAUCACUGAUGAAGUCAACAGUGUCGUCAGUGGUUUGAGUUCAGUCUUCUGUAUUUUAGAUUUCUAUCACCUAUUAAAAUCUUCUGGGAAGUGAUGGGUGGGUCAGGUAAUGGUGAAUGUUUAUCUGUAGAAGGGGGUGAUCCUGUCUGCCCUGAAGGAGACAGAUGUCUUGUGCCCCGGCCCCAGUGAAUAGACGAUUGCUAUGACCAGUUUUGUAUCCAAUAGAUCUGGACAAUUUUCAUCCAAUCUCUAGCUGAGAAGGUGGAUGGUAUACAGUUCUGGAAGAAGCAAAUUAUCUGAAUUGUUCUUGGUUAUAAACUGAGACAGCAUUGAUAAUGUGGAUUAUCUCUAACAGACCCAAUAUGGCAGUAGAAUCCAUCCUGCCUUCCUUGAUUUCUAUCAUCUUGGAUAGCAUCGACCAUGGAACCAUUCUGGCCCAUCUUAAAGAAUUGGGAGAAACUUUCCAACAAUUGAAGUGAAAGAAUAGAUCCUAAAGGAGAUGUGAAAGCUUCUAGCUUGCCAGUCAAUUGUUGGUCACUUGUACCAUUGGAAGUAUUGUUUUUCAUUCAGUCCUCAUAGUGUCACCCAGCUAUCAGAGGUGAUGCAGUGCAUGAUCUCAUUAUUGCUUUACAUUACCUCAAGGAUACUUUAUUGAUGCUAUGUCAUGGAAGAAAUUCCUUAAAGCUAUAAUUCUAUUCUGCCACUAUAACUGAAUUAAUUGCAGAGAAACAACUUUGAAGAAACUUCCAUAUGGCUGCAUUGUAAAAGGACUUUUGGUACAACUGAACAAGUACCAAUAUUCUUCUUUUCCUUUACUUCAUAGCUUAAGUACAUGUUGUCAUAAAUAGUUACUUUUCCAAGAACAAUAAUUCUGAAGCUUUUUCUUUAAAUGCUUUAAAGGAACUUCCUGCAAUUUAUCAGAUAUUCUAUAAAUUAUCAUUCAUUUUAGAUAAAUGUACAGAUCCUCAAACUUAAUUUCUUAUUUUUUUUUAUUAAAAAAAAAUUAGUGAAUGUAUAUUUUACAAGAGUAUUACACAACAAUCAUUAACAUUAAAUUUAAUGAGGCAUAACAAGGCAACUGUUUAGACUUCUUAGUCAAAUUCCGGAUUAUUCUUGAAGAGAUAUUCUGCCUGUUGAUAAAAAAAAAUCCAUGUAAAAAGAUACGUUCAGUUUCUAUAGGUUAAAGAUAGCAUUGCAUUUUCUAAAAUUAAUGAAAGUGGACUGAAUUAUUGUUAGAUAACUCUGGUAUUGGUGAAGGAUUAGCUAGUAUCUUGAACCAAAGCUAUAAUAGCAACAUCUGCUUGGUAUUCACAGUACAAUUCCUGCUAUAGGCAAUCCCAUUAUGAAAGUGUGCCUCAGAUGUGGAAGUGAAUGUACAGUAUAUCUGGAAUCCAAAUCAAGGAAGAAUGUAAUCAACAGAGACAGACAGCAUAUUGGAAAAUUGUUGAGCUCAGGUUCCAUUAAUCAGAUGAAAACUUGCAUAAACCAAAUCACCCACCAUAUUGAGAUGACCUAUUAAUUAAAAUCAAAGUCCAAACCAAAGCUACCUCUAUAAAAUUAUACCAAGGAGGAUCUAUCUCAAAACAAGAUAACCUGUGUUAUAACCCUGAAAGAUAAGGUCUAUUGUUAUGCAAAUUAAUGUUUAAGAUAAAAUUUCUGAAAUGUUUGUAAACUGUAUGACAGCUGAAUAAGCUUGUUCCCCUUCCCUUCUCAUUCUAUGUUAAUCACCUAAUAAACUAAAUUAGACUAAA